GCUGGCGGCAGGCCUAACACAUGCAAGUCGAGCGGUAGCACAGAGAGCUUGCUCUCGGGUGACGAGCGGCGGACGGGUGAGUAAUGUCUGGGAAACUGCCUGAUGGAGGGGGAUAACUACUGGAAACGGUAGCUAAUACCGCAUAAUGUCGCAAGACCAAAGUGGGGGACCUUCGGGCCUCAUGCCAUCAGAUGUGCCCAGAUGGGAUUAGCUAGUAGGUGGGGUAACGGCUCACCUAGGCGACGAUCCCUAGCUGGUCUGAGAGGAUGACCAGCCACACUGGAACUGAGACACGGUCCAGACUCCUACGGGAGGCAGCAGUGGGGAAUAUUGCACAAUGGGCGCAAGCCUGAUGCAGCCAUGCCGCGUGUGUGAAGAAGGCCUUCGGGUUGUAAAGCACUUUCAGCGGGGAGGAAGGCGGUAAGGUUAAUAACCUCAUCGAUUGACGUUACCCGCAGAAGAAGCACCGGCUAACUCCGUGCCAGCAGCCGCGGUAAUACGGAGGGUGCAAGCGUUAAUCGGAAUUACUGGGCGUAAAGCGCACGCAGGCGGUCUGUCAAGUCGGAUGUGAAAUCCCCGGGCUCAACCUGGGAACUGCAUUCGAAACUGGCAGGCUAGAGUCUUGUAGAGGGGGGUAGAAUUCCAGGUGUAGCGGUGAAAUGCGUAGAGAUCUGGAGGAAUACCGGUGGCGAAGGCGGCCCCCUGGACAAAGACUGACGCUCAGGUGCGAAAGCGUGGGGAGCAAACAGGAUUAGAUACCCUGGUAGUCCACGCCGUAAACGAUGUCGAUUUGGAGGUUGUGCCCUUGAGGCGUGGCUUCCGGAGCUAACGCGUUAAAUCGACCGCCUGGGGAGUACGGCCGCAAGGUUAAAACUCAAAUGAAUUGACGGGGGCCCGCACAAGCGGUGGAGCAUGUGGUUUAAUUCGAUGCAACGCGAAGAACCUUACCUGGUCUUGACAUCCACAGAACUUUCCAGAGAUGGAUUGGUGCCUUCGGGAACUGUGAGACAGGUGCUGCAUGGCUGUCGUCAGCUCGUGUUGUGAAAUGUUGGGUUAAGUCCCGCAACGAGCGCAACCCUUAUCCUUUGUUGCCAGCGGUCCGGCCGGGAACUCAAAGGAGACUGCCAGUGAUAAACUGGAGGAAGGUGGGGAUGACGUCAAGUCAUCAUGGCCCUUACGACCAGGGCUACACACGUGCUACAAUGGCAUAUACAAAGAGAAGCGACCUCGCGAGAGCAAGCGGACCUCAUAAAGUAUGUCGUAGUCCGGAUUGGAGUCUGCAACUCGACUCCAUGAAGUCGGAAUCGCUAGUAAUCGUAGAUCAGAAUGCUACGGUGAAUACGUUCCCGGGCCUUGUACACACCGCCCGUCACACCAUGGGAGUGGGUUGCAAAAGAAGUAGGUAGCUUAACCUUCGGGAGGGCGCUUACCACUUUGUGAUUCAUGACUGGGGUGAAGUCGUAACAAGGUAACCGUAGGGGAACCUGC
rnacentral:rRNA from 1 species